rfam:Ovis aries breed Texel chromosome 17, whole genome shotgun sequence.
UCCCUGGUGGCUCAGUCAGUAAAGUGUCUGCUUACAAUGUGGAAGACCCAGGUUCAAUCCCUGGGUUGGGAA